GAGAGAAGGGUGAAACUUGGAAUUAAUCAAAGAAGAGAAAAGAGGGAAAUUAUUUUAUAAAUAGGAAAAGAAAAGGAAAAGAAAAGGAAAAGAAAAGGAAAAGAAAAGAGAAGAGGGAGAGAAGAAAACCCUAGCCGCGCCGCCGCCGCCGCCGCGAGCCACCGCCGCCGCCGCCGUCGCGAAACCCUAGCCGCCUACCCACGCCACACGCACAGCCGCGCCAGAAUUCGUCCAAGCUUCCUCGCACGCCGAAGCCGAGUCGAAGCCGUCCAUUCACGCGUCUGCAAGACGACUGGAAGCCGAAGCCACCCCUCGCGCCGCUUCGAUCCGAGGCAGAUCAGCCGAAACUCGUCGCCGAGAUCCAUCUCCACGUCGAAGCCGCGUCGCCAGCCGAACGCGUCUGCAAAUCGGAGCCGCGAACGCGCCUACACCCGAGCCGCACCGAAGCCGCGAACGCGCCUGCCUCCAGCCGACGGACGAAACCGAACCCGGAACCACCACCCGCGCGUCCGAACCCGGAACCGCCCGCGCGCCCGAAACCGAAACCCGCGUCCGCGCCACACGUGCCCAGCUCUCCCCGCGUGCAGCCGCGCCGCGCCGUGCGUUCCGCGUAGCCGAGCCGCGCCCCCUCCCUGUAGCAAGCCGAGCCGCACGCGAAGUCCCUGUACCGAGCCGAGCCGCGCCUACGCCAAGCCGAGCCGGUCCUGUCUUCUUCCAGUCGAGCCGCCAAGCCUGUUUUGGCUCCUUCCACCUAAAUUUUUGAAGCAAAUUGGACCAAAUAGCUGCUGCAGCUUAGGACUUCCUCAGUAGGAACUCAUCUAGCAACAUCUCGAGGUAAGAGAUUUCUACUACUAGCCCCAUGUGAGAAUUUGAUGUUGCAUGUUCCUUCAGUGACAUACGAUGAUGGUUGGGCUUACGAUGUAUGAUAAUAUUUUAUCAUGAUCUGACGAAUGACAUGGCCAUACUUUGGCAUAAUAUUAUAGUAAUGAGAACCCUCGAACCAUAUGUGACUGUAUGAUAAGACUGAUGGACUUAUGAUGUAUGUGACUGUAUGGUAAGACUGAUGGACUUAUGAUGUAUGUGACUGUAUGAUAGGACUGAUGGACUUAUGAUGUAUGUGACUGUAUGAUAGGACUGAUGGACUUAUGAUGUAUGUGACUGUAUGGUAAGACUGAUGGACUUAUGAUGUAUGUGACUGUAUGAUAGGACUGAUGGACUUAUGAUGUAUGUGACUGUAUGAUAGGACUGAUGGACUUAUGAUGUAUGUGACUGUAUGAUAAGACUGAUGGACUUAUGAUGUAUGUGACUGUAUGAUAAGACUGAUGGACUUAUGACGUAGGUGACUGUAUAAUGAGGACUAUUAGUGACUGUUUGAUGAUAGCUGUAGUGGGGGAUGAGAUGGUGGUUAUUUUCUGAUGAUAAUUUGAUGACGUAUGCAUAUGUAUGUUGGGAUUGGGGUAUCUGUUAACUUCUCCUAUCUGAGUCGUACCUGCAUGGGUGUCCUUCGGGAUCACCACCUAUUUAGGACUGUUAGGCUCGACGGGGCGCCAGUCCAGCAUGACUAUAGAUAUGACUCGAGCGACUCGACGGGGUCCUCGCAUCCCGACGGUCCUAAGUGUCCCCUGGACACCGAAGACCAGAGUUAUGUCCCUACGGGGCGCAUGUUGCACGUGUUCGGGAGCGUGCCAGAGAUUGGGUACUAGUUUCAGGACUCGAUAGGAAUGUUAACAGGCACCUAGUGGGACUAGUAGUGGGUCCCUUACUGAGUAUUUUUAUACUCAUUCUCUUCAUUUUAUGUUUUCAGGUAGAGGACGAGGUAAGGGCAAGGGCAAACUGGCGAGCGACUCGAAGUGAGACCGUGAAGGGCCAUAGGGACUACCGCUUCCGCUUAUCUUUAUUUCAGAUUUUCGCACUUGAGUUCGAGUACUUUCAUUAUUUACCAUCUUUAUGUAGAUAGGGCCCGCUUAGGGAUUUUAAACUUAACUCGUAUUUCUACAUGUUACUUUAACUAUCUUUCAUAAAUAAAUUUGCUAGAUUUCUUUGCAUUUA